rnacentral:rRNA from 1 species
UACGAAGGGAGCUAGCGUUGUUCGGAAUCACUGGGCGUAAAGCGCACGUAGGCGGAUGUGUCAGUCCGGGGUGAAAUCCCGGAGCUCAACUUCGGAACUGCCUUUGAUACAGCACGUCUUGAGUCCGAUAGAGGUGGGUGGAAUUCCUAGUGUAGAGGUGAAAUUCGUAGAUAUUAGGAAGAACACCGGUGGCGAAGGCGGCCCACUGGAUCGGUACUGACGCUGAGGUGCGAAAGCGUGGGGAGCAAACAGG